rnacentral:rRNA from 1 species
UCCGUAGGUGAACCUGCGGAAGGAUCAUUACACUCAGUAGUUUACUACUGCAAAGGAGGCUGUCAGUCUGUAUAGCUUAAUCGCUGAUGAGCAGCUGGUCUCUUUUCUCUACCCUUGUCUUUUGCGUACCUAUGUUUCCUCGGCAGGCUUGCCUGCCGGCUGGACAAUUCUAUAACCUUUUUAAUUUUUAAUCAGCGUCUGAAAAAACUUAAUAAUUACAACUUUCAACAACGGAUCUCUUGGUUCUGGCAUCGAUGAAGAACGCAGCGAAAUGCGAUAAGUAGUGUGAAUUGCAGAAUUCAGUGAAUCAUCGAAUCUUUGAACGCACAUUGCGCCCCUUGGUAUUCCAUGGGGCAUGCCUGUUCGAGCGUCAUUUGUACCUUCAAGCUUUGCUUGGUGUUGGGUGUUUGUCCUCUCCUUGGUGUUUGGACUCGCCUUAAAACAAUUGGCAGCCAGUGUUUUGGUAUUGAAGCGCAGCACAAGUCGCGAUUCUGACCUAGUAACACUUGCAUCCACAAGUCUUUUUAACUUUUGACCUCGGAUCAGGUAGGGAUACCCGCUGAACUUAAGCAUAUCAAUAAGCGGAGGA